UACGUAGGGGGCAAGCGUUGUCCGGAUUUAUUGGGCGUAAAGAGCGUGUAGGCGGCCAGGUAGGUCCGUUGUGAAAACUCGAGGCUCAACCUCGAGACGUCGGCGGAAACCCUCUGGCUAGAGUCCGGAAGAGGAGAGUGGAAUUCCUGGUGUAGCGGUGAAAUGCGCAGAUAUCAGGAAGAACACCGGUGGCGAAGGCGGGUCUCUGGGCCGAUACUGACGCUGAGGAGCGAAAGCGUGGGGAGCAAACAGG
rnacentral:rRNA from 1 species